rnacentral:misc_RNA from 1 species
GAGUAUUCAUCAACUGGCGUUCAGUCGGUCACACAGGGGCGCAGAUGGACGCGUAUGCACGCAUGACAAAGGAGAGGACAAGUGCGUUCAAGGACGAGGCACCUGAACGGACCGAGUCACCGUCUUACGAAGGGAGGGACACGAGGGCGACUAUGACCAGACAAAAAAGGAUAGAGCAGAGAUUGUAAACGAGCGCAACACUGCUGACGCGAGGCCCACAUCGUGUGUUUCUCGCACGCGCCUGAUUUCCUCGUCUUAACAACGCCAUCCCAGCCCUUCCUUCCUCACCUUCAGCAGCUGAUUCACUAGUGAUGGCUUGCGGUGGGAGGGAGCUGCGGUGGCGUGCGCGUGUUUACUCCCACCAGGCCAUGCUUCCCCGCUGGGCUUGAAGUGUCGGUGUUUGCGCUGGCGACCUCCGUUGCAGGUCUCGGGCCGGACGCGAGCACUCGUUUCUAUGAAGUGAAUAUGUACUUGAGCGUGAUUUCGUUUAGUGGUGAGGGGGCAUGCUGCUGCAGCGACUGCUCCCUUUUUCCAGCCCCCCUUUUCCAUGUUAUGCGUGUAUGCAAUGACGUGCUCGUUAGGGGUGAGGCGUUGACAACGCAGAAAAGAAAAGCGCCUUUUCCAUCUCUCUUCUUUAUGGGCAUUCCCUCAUCUGAAUGUGACCAGUUCGUGUCACACGCUCACGCAUGCGCACUCCCACAGUCGAUGCGUCUCCACGCCCCCCUUCCCCCAACUCUCUCUUCCAUUCCACACCGCCCUCGCCUCCUCACUCUCGGCGCCCAUCUUUGAAG